UCCUCUCUAACCAAAUACACCAAAAAAUACAAGCAGGUAUCAUAAUCCAGAUCUUCUUGAUGGCUUUGUCAACUUUCCAUAGACUCCAAUUCUCAUAUGCAUCCUUAACAGCACAAUAUAAGCUGAGCUAAUGAGUUAGUAAAAUCCUGAAGUUGUUCUGCAUUAACAGCAUGAUACAAGUUGGUCCAACUAAACAAAUUUUCAGUGCACCUAGUCUUCAAAAUGCCUAAAGCAGUUGACUCUCCAUCAAAACAUCUCUUGUUCCUCUCUAACCAAAUACACCAAAAAAUACAAGCAGGUAUCAUAAUCCAGAUCUUCUUGAUGGCUUUGUCAACUUUCCAUAGACUCCAAUUCUCAUAUGCAUCCUUAACAGCACAAUAUAAGCUGAGCUAAUGAGUUAGUAAAAUCCUGAAGUUGUUCUGCAUUAACAGCAUGAUACAAGUUGGUCCAACUAAACAAAUUUUCAGUGCACCUAGUCUUCAAAAUGCCUAAAGCAGUUGACUCUCCAUCAAAACAUCUCUUGUUCCUCUCUAACCAAAUACACCAAAAAAUACAAGCAGGUAUCAUAAUCCAGAUCUUCUUGAUGGCUUUGUCAACUUUCCAUAGACUCCAAUUCUCAUAUGCAUCCUUAACAGCACAAUAUAAGCUGAGCUAAUGAGUUAGUAAAAUCCUGAAGUUGUUCUGCAUUAACAGCAUGAUACAAGUUGGUCCAACUAAACAAAUUUUCAGUGCACCUAGUCUUCAAAAUGCCUAAAGCAGUUGACUCUCCAUCAAAACAUCUCUUGUUCCUCUCUAACCAAAUACACCAAAAAAUACAAGCAGGUAUCAUAAUCCAGAUCUUCUUGAUGGCUUUGUCAACUUUCCAUAGACUCCAACUCUCAUAUGCAUCCUUAACAGUGAGGGGUGUGGUCCAAUUGAUGCCAGAGAGACCAAAAAACAUGCUCCAUAAUUCUGAGGCCACCUCACAAUGAAGAAGAAGGUGUCUAGGGGUUUCAGCCUCUUUUUUGCACAUAUAGCAUCUGUUUGGGAAUUGGAUUUUUCUUUUCUUUAUGUUGUCUUGGGUGAGACAUGCCUCAUAUAGAGCUAUCCAGGUAAAAAAAACUACCUUAGGUGGUAGCUUGGUCCUCCAAAUGAGUUUCCAGGGCCAGUUAGCUAUCACGGGGUUUCUAGAGCACAACUGUUGAUACCCUUCCUUGACUGUAUAAACUCCUUUCUGGUGUCCCCAUUUGAGCUUAUCAGCUGCCUGGAGAUUAAUGUGACAAUGUUGUAGUCUAGCAAAAAGGUCUACCAGAUCAUUCACUUCCCAAUCGUGCAUAUUUCUUCUAAAUCUUAGAUCCCAAUUGAUCCCUUCUCUAUUAGCAGAAAUAAUAGAAU
rnacentral:lncRNA from 1 species